rnacentral:rRNA from 1 species
CCCUUAGAUGUUCUGGGCCGCACGCGCGCUACACUGAUGCAUUCAACGAGUUCUUCCUGGUCCGAGAGGAAUGGGUAACCUUUUGAAAGUGCAUCGUGCUAGGGAUAGACUAUUGCAAUUAUUGGUCUUCAACGAGGAAUUCCUAGUAGACGUAGUUCAUCAGACUGCAUCGAUUACGUCCCUGCCCUUUGUACACACCGCCCGUCGCUCCUACCGAUUGGAUGAUCCGGUGAGCUAUUCGGACCUGUGCAUUUUCCAUUGGAACUUGCGUGGGAAAGUCUCGCGAACCUUAUCAUCUAGAGGAAGGAGAAGUCGUAACA